ACGCUGGCGGCGUGCUUAACACAUGCAAGUCGAACGAUGAAGCCUAGCUUGCUAGGUGGAUUAGUGGCGAACGGGUGAGUAAUACGUGAGUAACCUACCUUUAACUCUGGGAUAAGCCUGGGAAACUGGGUCUAAUACCGGAUACGACCAAUCUCCGCAUGGGGUGUUGGUGGGAAGCGUUAUGUAGUGGUUAUAGAUGGGCUCACGGCCUAUCAGCUUGUUGGUGAGGUAACGGCUCACCAAGGCGACGACGGGUAGCCGGCCUGAGAGGGUGACCGGCCACACUGGGACUGAGACACGGCCCAGACUCCUACGGGAGGCAGCAGUGGGGAAUAUUGCACAAUGGGCGCAAGCCUGAUGCAGCGACGCCGCGUGAGGGAUGACGGCCUUCGGGUUGUAAACCUCUGUUAGCAGGGAAGAAGAGAGAUUGACGGUACCUGCAGAGAAAGCGCCGGCUAACUACGUGCCAGCAGCCGCGGUAAUACGUAGGGCGCGAGCGUUGUCCGGAAUUAUUGGGCGUAAAGAGCUUGUAGGCGGUUUGUCGCGUCUGCUGUGAAAGGCCGGAGCUUAACUCCGUGUAUUGCAGUGGGUACGGGCAGACUAGAGUUCAGUAGGGGAGACUGGAAUUCCUGGUGUAACGGUGGAAUGCGCAGAUAUCAGGAGGAACACCGAUGGCGAAGGCAGGUCUCUGGGCUGUAACUGACGCUGAGAAGCGAAAGCAUGGGGAGCGAACAGGAUUAGAUACCCUGGUAGUCCAUGCCGUAAACGUUGGGCACUAGGUGUGGGGGACAUUCCACGUUUUCCGCGCCGUAGCUAACGCAUUAAGUGCCCCGCCUGGGGAGUACGGCCGCAAGGCUAAAACUCAAAGAAAUUGACGGGGGCCCGCACAAGCGGCGGAGC
rnacentral:rRNA from 1 species